UACGAAGGGGGCUAGCGUUGUUCGGAAUCACUGGGCGUAAAGCGCACGUAGGCGGAUCUUUAAGUCAGAGGUGAAAUCCCAAAGCUCAACCUUGGAACUGCCUUUGAUACUGGAGAUCUUGAGUCCGGGAGAGGUGAGUGGAACUGCGAGUGUAGAGGUGAAAUUCGUAGAUAUUCGCAAGAACACCAGUGGCGAAGGCGGCUCACUGGCCCGGUACUGACGCUGAGGUGCGAAAGCGUGGGGAGCAAACAGG
rnacentral:rRNA from 1 species